GGGGCUGACUGGUUUUGACAGCAAGGUUAAUGGAUUUGUAAGCAUGCAGGCUCACGCAUCAGAAGCCUCGAAAACCGAUGCAGAACAAUAAUUGGCGAAACUUCUUACGCUCUUGCUGCCUAAUCGAAGCACAGUAGAUUAGCUUAAUCCCCGCAAAAGUUGCAGGGACAAGACGUCUCCCAGCCGCCCCGACCGUCGGCUGCUGAUCCGGAGGCGCUCGCAAAGACGGGAUAGUCGGCAGUUUGCCUCACACUGGCGAUGAAAUCUUAGGGGCUAAGGGUUGCCUUGGGUGUCCGCGUCCAGAGCCACCUCGAAAACCAAUCACGGAAUAAGCAUGUAGAAAGCACGUCAGUUACUUGUUUGGACGGCGGUUCGAACCCGCCCAGCUCCAC
rnacentral:tmRNA from 1 species